rnacentral:tRNA from 1 species
GCGGUCAUGGCGGAAUGGGUAGACGCGCUAGAUUCAGGUUCUAGUCAGGGUUAACUUGGUGGAUGUUCGAAUCAUCUUGACCGCA